rnacentral:rRNA from 1 species
UACGAAGGGGGCUAGCGUUGUUCGGAAUUACUGGGCGUAAAGCGCGCGCAGGCGGUCCUUCAAGUCAGAGGUGAAAGCCCAGAGCUCAACUCUGGAAUGGCCUUUGAAACUGGAGGACUUGGGUACGGGAGAGGUGAGUGGAAUUCCGAGUGUAGAGGUGAAAUUCGUAGAUAUUCGGAAGAACACCAGUGGCGAAGGCGGCUCACUGGCCCGUUACCGACGCUCAGGCGCGACAGCGUGGGGAGCAAACAGG